UUGACGGAGAGUUUGAUCCUGGCUCAGGACGAACGCUGGCGGCGUGCUUAACACAUGCAAGUCGAACGAUGAUGCCCAGCUUGCUGGGCGGAUUAGUGGCGAACGGGUGAGUAAUACGUGAGUAACCUGCCCUUGACUCUGGGAUAAGCCUGGGAAACUGGGUCUAAUACUGGAUACUACCUCUUGCCGCAUGGUGGGUGGUGGAAAGGGUUUUACUGGUUUUGGAUGGGCUCACGGCCUAUCAGCUUGUUGGUGGGGUAAUGGCUCACCAAGGCGACGACGGGUAGCCGGCCUGAGAGGGUGACCGGCCACACUGGGACUGAGACACGGCCCAGACUCCUACGGGAGGCAGCAGUGGGGAAUAUUGCACAAUGGGCGGAAGCCUGAUGCAGCGACGCCGCGUGAGGGAUGACGGCCUUCGGGUUGUAAACCUCUUUCAGUAGGGAAGAAGCGAGAGUGACGGUACCUGCAGAAGAAGCGCCGGCUAACUACGUGCCAGCAGCCGCGGUAAUACGUAGGGCGCAAGCGUUGUCCGGAAUUAUUGGGCGUAAAGAGCUCGUAGGCGGUUUGUCGCGUCUGCUGUGAAAGCCCGGGGCUCAACCCCGGGUCUGCAGUGGGUACGGGCAGACUAGAGUGCAGUAGGGGAGACUGGAAUUCCUGGUGUAGCGGUGAAAUGCGCAGAUAUCAGGAGGAACACCGAUGGCGAAGGCAGGUCUCUGGGCUGUUACUGACGCUGAGGAGCGAAAGCAUGGGGAGCGAACAGGAUUAGAUACCCUGGUAGUCCAUGCCGUAAACGUUGGGCACUAGGUGUGGGGGACAUUCCACGUUUUCCGCGCCGUAGCUAACGCAUUAAGUGCCCCGCCUGGGGAGUACGGCCGCAAGGCUAAAACUCAAAGGAAUUGACGGGGGCCCGCACAAGCGGCGGAGCAUGCGGAUUAAUUCGAUGCAACGCGAAGAACCUUACCAAGGCUUGACAUUCACCGGACCGCCCCAGAGAUGGGGUUUCCCUUCGGGGCUGGUGGACAGGUGGUGCAUGGUUGUCGUCAGCUCGUGUCGUGAGAUGUUGGGUUAAGUCCCGCAACGAGCGCAACCCUCGUUCUAUGUUGCCAGCACGUGAUGGUGGGGACUCAUAGGAGACUGCCGGGGUCAACUCGGAGGAAGGUGGGGAUGACGUCAAAUCAUCAUGCCCCUUAUGUCUUGGGCUUCACGCAUGCUACAAUGGCCGGUACAAAGGGUUGCGAUACUGUGAGGUGGAGCUAAUCCCAAAAAGCCGGUCUCAGUUCGGAUUGAGGUCUGCAACUCGACCUCAUGAAGUCGGAGUCGCUAGUAAUCGCAGAUCAGCAACGCUGCGGUGAAUACGUUCCCGGGCCUUGUACACACCGCCCGUCAAGUCACGAAAGUUGGUAACACCCGAAGCCGGUGGCCUAACCCCUUGUGGGAGGGAGCCGUCGAAGGUGGGACUGGCGAUUGGGACUAAGUCGUAACAAGGUAGCCGUACCGGAAGGUGCGGCUGGAUCACCUCCUUUCUAAGGAGC
rnacentral:rRNA from 1 species